GCUGAGCUUCCAGGACUGGUUUCACCUGACCAGAUCUGUUCCUUUUAUGGCCUGGAACAUUUCUAUCAGGUGGGUUUUUGAAUUAUAUGCAUCAUUGCAGAAAUAUUGCCCGCCAGUGGUUCAGGGGGCAGGCUGUUAUAAAAGCCGGUGCUGAGUUUCCAGGACCGGUUUCACCUGAACCAGAUCUGUUCCUUUUAUUGCCUGGAAGUGAUCCAUCAGGUGGGUUUCAGAAUUUUAUGCAUUUUUGUAGAAAUAUCGCCCGCCAGGGUUUUCUGGCUAAAUCAAGACAGGAGAGCGGGUGCUGGACGUAGGACCACAGUUCCACCUCACUGGAUCUCUUCCUUUUAUUCCCCUGCAUCAGCACAAGCAGCCCUGUGCUGGAACAUCCCAGGAACUUGCAACCACCUCCAGGUUGUAGCGGAGAACCAGAGCUUUAAAACCCGAUCAUCCACUCCGGGAUCCUAUGCUCCUAGCCCGGGGAGGGGGGCUAAAACCACCCCGGCGGGAGGUCCGACGGGCAGAACCAGAGCUUUCAAACCGCCGGGAUGUGAUGCUCAGAGCCGGCGAUGGAGGCUCCGCGAGUCCGCGGCAAGGUUGUGCUGCACAGGCACCUGGGAAUCAGCUGGUGGGACCGCGAGCAACUGGUUGGGCACCCCUGAUGUAGACUAUAAUGAUAUUUACUAUGAUAUUUACAGUAUGUACCAUACUGUAAAACAUGUAGUUUUUAUAACUGCUCCUUAUUGCUGACAGAAAUUAGUUAUAACAGCACAUGAUGUUAUAUCCUACACAUUUUAUAUAUAAAUCUAUUUUAUCCAGUAACUAAUAUAUUGAUCAACUAAACAACAUAUAACAAUAGUUUUAAAAAUGGAUAAAUACAGACGUGAAAGAGCACUUUUUAAAGAGGAACGAGGAAGAAGAAGAGGUCUGGGCUAAAGGCCCUGAUGUUUCAAGAGCCUAAAAACGCCCCUGAAUGUUACAAAUGGGUGUUUUUUUAGCAUGCAAGCUCAUUAGUCUUUGUUCAGAGAAGGAUGUAAAAACAAACUUUAUUGGCCCAGAGACUAACUGCAGAUACAAUCAUAAUUAAAGUCAGACUAUUUUGUAACUUAAAACCCUAAAAAGAUGUGCUUAAGACGUAUUUUGAUCUGUAGCAUAACAAAGGGUCAAGAGUUAUUCUGCAGGUCUUGCUGCAGACUUUAGUAGCUUGAAUCAGAGCAGGCGAGUUUUUUUUCAACGCCUCUUUUAAUUCCAUCCUGUUCUCUGAAAUCACACGUGAGCGCGAUGAGAGAGGGUCUCUGUUGAUGACUUCUGUCAGGAGAAAAUGGACACGUUACGUGCUGUUCAUCCAUUUAGUACCUGUUACUGUGUGUUUGUGUGUUCAGUCCAGCAGAUCACUAAACAGCAUCACAUGACUUUGUUGUGUUCAGCUGAGCCAUGAAUCAAACUAUACUGAUGUAUGAUUAAAGUUACAGGUGGCUCRAGAGCAGGAAGUUGGUGAGCGUAGCGACCAGCUGAUGGUGAUGAGCGCAGACGGGGCUGUGGAUGGGAACCAGCUGAUGGUGGUGGAGGAGGCUCUGAUGCUCCUCGCUGAGGGAGAAAACGUGCACCACUAUAUCGUUUACAUCCAAGAACAAACUGUAGACAUCAACUAGGAGUCAUCAAACAUCAACAUCUUGSAGCCUGAAACAAAUCAAUCAAGAUGGAAAGGAUGUUUGCAUGACYGAACUAAGAUCUGAUUUCUUCACAUUGAUUUUGAAGUCACUCAUAGGAAACAAUAAGUUGUCUGAGAUUUGUGACAUUCUAGCAUAUUUGGUAUGUUUAAAUAAAAUCAUUCUACUACACUGCU